rnacentral:rRNA from 1 species
CCUACGGGAGGCUGCAGUGGGGAAUAUUGCACAAUGGGGGAAACCCUGAUGCAGCGACGCCGCGUGAGUGAAGAAGUAUUUCGGUAUGUAAAGCUCUAUCAGCCGGGAAGAAAUUGACGAUACCUGAUUAAUAAGCCCCGGCUAACUACGUGCCAGCAGCCGCGGUAAUACGUAUGGGGCAAGCGUUGUCCGGAUUUACUGGGUGUAAAGGGAGCGUAGACGGCAGCACAAGUCUGGAGUGAAAUGCCCGGGCUUAACCCCGGGACUGCCUUGGAAACUGUGCAGCUAGAGGGCAGGAGAGGUAAGUGGAAUUCCUAGUGUAGCGGUGAAAUGCGUAGAUAUUAGGAGGAACACCAGUGGCGAAGGCGACUUACUGGACUGUAACUGACGUUGAGGCGCGAAAGCGUGGGGAGCAAACAGGAUUAGAUACCCGAGUAGUC